AAAAUCAUUUUUUGCAUUGCAUAUACAACAUGUUUUUCAUCCAUUUCCUCCCAAGACUGCUGGUUUAAAAUGUCCAAAUCUGACUUCUGACAGAAAAACAGACCAUAAUCACUACUUUUAAUUUGCUCUUUAGGGAGCCUCUCUCUCACUCGCUCGCUCGCUCAAGGGAUUCUGGGAGUUGCCAUGACCGGACUGGAGUGAGUUCAGGGAAAGGUGCUGGGAAAGAGACAACACAAGCUGGAGAAAGUCACGUCUGUCCCUUGGACACACACUUUAAUAGAUUAGAGAGUCAAUGUAUUACUCCUACCAUGUCCAUCUGUGCUUCCAUAAUGUCCAGGAGAAGUUGUGGCAUAACAUGUGAAACAUGGCUAACCUCACAUAAGACUCUUCUCUUCUCCUCAAAGCCAGAGAAUCUGGCUUGUACAUCUGCCCACAAAUAUAUAUUGACCCAUCUCGUGCAUUUGUCCAAAACAGCAUUGAUUAGGAAAUAACUAAAAGUAGUUUAUUGCAUAACGUCAAACAGUUCUUAAAUAAUUAACAUUAGAGAUUUUAUUUUAAAGUAAAGCCAAAACGACUGAGCUAUCACAUUCAUGUCUGUUUAAUAGGUCUGUACUCUCGUAGUGUCUCAUUUGAAGGUAUUUUAGCAGGAACAUCCGAGACAUCGUCGAUGCUUGAUUGAAACAACUCCAUUGAUUCUCCAGAGCGACGAAAGACCAACCGCUGAGCAAUAAAUGUUCAUUUUCGUUUCAAAAACCCACUCACGGACUCGUCAAUCACAUCAUAUCUCUAUCAGACAGAGGAGUCGUGCUGAGAGAUCAAUAAGGCAGAUAGAUUCAGUGUGUUAUGAGCAGAUCUCCUGCAGAUGUGUGACGGGAUGUUUAAUGCUCUUUCCCCGUAAUGAAGCAGCCUCUCGCUUCGAACCGCGUGCUUGAUGUCUGCAUGCUAAAACUAACCUGGCCCAUCUGCUGUCGAGCGCUAUAAUCAGAUUGGAAAAAAACGUGCGCCGCAGAAACGCUCCAGUUUGUAAUUCCACAGCUUUUUUUGGAGCGUGCGGAGAUCAGACAUUUGCUUUCGCUGAAAGAUCCAAACACACGAGUAUUCGUCAUAUAAUGACAAGCCUUUCUGUGAUCUAGACCGUUUAUGAGAUGUGUGGGUUUAUUUUGCUCAAUCCUUCCUUGGAAGAUUUUCUCACGGUAAAAAUAAUUCAUAAAUCGAAAGCAGUAUUUUUACAAAUAUUUAAUGCAUACAAUAUUGACAGGUAACAAGGUAAACGUGUGUGAAGUGAGACACAAUGCAAAGCCUCUCUCUCAUCACAUGGUUUUAUUUCACUGUCCCUGCAUCAUCUCCCCCCUCCUUCACUGUAAUUCCCCCAGUCUCUAGGAAUGCUGUUGUUUUUAAUUUCUCCCAGCUGCUCUGGCUCUGUGCCCGACCGCCUGCCUCCUCACAUCUGCUCUCCAUCAGGCCGCUGCCAAGUCCACACAAACACAGGCCUCUCAUCAAAACAGCAGGAUUACAGCCCUCGACGGCACUUCAUGACCCGUCCAUCCGCAAUCCCUUUCCCCAGCUCUGCUCAUCGUCGCCCGAAUCAUCAAACAUCAAAACGAGGCUUGGAUCUGAGCGAGAUGGACACGAGACUGUCAUCAAACCCAAGUGGUCUUUGUAGGAGUGUUCGUAAAUAGUGUAUUAUUCUCCAACGAGUUCCUCAUCUCCAUCUGGUUAUGGGAAGCAGACGUACGAGUCUCAGUCGGUUCUCUUGGGGAAGGCGUCAUCAGCGGUCGGUGUUCUGGAAAGCCCGGCGCUUCCCCAAAAGGCGAGUGAGAAAAAACUUCCUUUUCAUAUUUCUGCUAAUAAAAUCCAGAUGUUACUAAGCUGGGCCAUACACUCUCCCUCUCGCUCUCUUUCGGCCGCUCGGCCCGGGCCAUUCCUAAAUAAAGGAAAGUAUUUGUGACAUUCAGCCGAUCCGGGACGUGCCAAGAACAACUCCCCAGCUCGGCCCAUCUGGAGUGUGUUAGGACAGCGAUGGGCACCAGGCAGGCUGCAGAUGCUAAGCUACGGCCACAGAUUCGCAAAAUCACAUGCUAUAUGUUUAGGUUCGUAUGUUAGUGCAGAACUCUGAGGGUUGCGUUGUUUAAGACCUCCACCCUUCACAUCGAGAAACACUGGGCUGUGUCCCUCCGCCCUGCUGCAAACGUGUUGCGUUUGUUUUGUUUUUUUGUUCUUUUGAGUUGCCUGCAUUAACGGUUAAGUUUGUGGUUGUGUUUACUGUGUGUCCCUGUUCUGAGCUCACACACCUGAACAUCAAUAACUGUCAUAUACACACACACACUGAGCUCGAACACCUGGGGACCAGGAGCACCGCAGGCAUACAGCCGUCACCAACACAUCUGUCAGCUAAAGAGAGAACAACAGGGGAAAGCUAGGACGCCCAAGAAAAAGAAAAGACUAAAGAAGGAAGGGAGAAAAAGACUGUAUGCAUUUAUAUUGUGUUUUCUGCACGAUGCAUAAAUCUGUCUGUUUAUCUGUCUACAGGUAUCUAUCUAUUGUGUCUGCCUGUCUGUCUAUCCUCUC